rnacentral:rRNA from 1 species
UACAGAGGUCUCAAGCGUUGUUCGGAUUCAUUGGGCGUAAAGGGUGCGUAGGUGGCGCCGUAAGUCAGGUGUGAAAUUUCGGAGCUUAACUCCGAAACUGCAUUUGAUACUGCGGUGCUUGAGGACUGGAGAGGAGACUGGAAUUUACGGUGUAGCAGUGAAAUGCGUAGAGAUCGUAAGGAAGACCAGUGGCGAAGGCGGGUCGUCUGGACAGUUCCUGACACUGAGGCACGAAGGCCAGGGGAGCAAACGGG